CCGCGACCCCAUGUCAGACGGGAUUACCCGCUGAGUUUAAGCAUAUC
rnacentral:rRNA from 1 species